rnacentral:snRNA from 1 species
GUCAGUGGCAGCCACUGUAAA